rnacentral:lncRNA from 1 species
GAAUUCCUACUAAAAUUAAACCAAUUCAUCUCAAAGUUCUGGCCUGGGACUCUCUUAUUUCCACGGUGAUGUUCUCCUGUUGAUGUGUACCUUUUAUCUCUCUUUCUUCCCUAGCGUUUAGAGAAUUUUUGAGGUAGGCAUAUAAAUUCUUUUGUUUCAGCCAGAAUAACCCACUGAGAUCUAGGCGCCACUGGAUAAACCGCCCUCACACAUGCCAACAUCCACUGCUCCAUCCAAUAAUAUCUCGAGAAAAACUCAUGGUAGUGAAUAUCCCUGGACUUAUCUUUUUGUUCAUUGAAUUUGAUCGCCGCGACUAAUGCAUGUACGCAGAGAUACUUGUCUCAAAAUGCUUGCAAUCUGUUAACACCGUAUCUGUACCCAUUUUCACUAUUGAUUUCAAAUUUUUUUCAAAGCUUUUAAUUAGUUUUAGGAGCUUUUAUUAUAUGUUUUCUAUUUUUUUUAGUUUCAAGGCUCUUUUAGGAAACUUAGGGAAAAAAUGGCAAAAUGAAAGAAAUCCACAUUUUCA